AAGACCACGCUCUCUGUCUCUAUACUCAUGGAGCUGAUCAUGGAGGUAUCAUCUCUCUCCCCACCUCUGGACUUCGCCUAACCCAGACAAAGUAUACUACUGUUGACUACCGAAUAAUUUUCUUGCGGAUAUAAGAGCGCACCAUGGAGGUUAAAGAUGACAAAGAGAAGACGGGGGUUGAUUCAUGAUCGUCAAAAAGUUUUUACAGCAUAGUGCGGGAACAUUGAGUUGCGCAAGGCACCAUACCUUUCGCUUACUUGCACUUUGGCCUUUUCCCAAAGCCCCAUAGCCAACCAAUUUUACCCAUCACCGAGCCAGCUGACAGCGGCUGACACGCUCUCUCUCUCUUUCUCUCUCUCCUUGAUUUCCUUGAAAAAACGAUGCGGUGGAAGAUACAGUCAUGGUCCCAGUUAGUUCUUAUGUAGCUGUACACACGUACAAUUCCCGCUGUUUCGCAUCUUCCAAGGUCGUAUAGCUCGAAAUCUUGGCCAUUUGUUAUCCGGGAUUUGGCAGAAUUCAAUAAUGAAUGCCAGAGUCAGAACAAAGCUUCAGUCCAUGAAAUCUCCUCUCAAGUAUGAAAAAGUAAUCAGCUAAACAUCUUUAAUUGUUCAUAGUAUGAACUGUCCAAUUCGUACUGUUGGUAUUUAAUUCUAUAUUAUAUUAUGUAUAUAUUUGUUUUUCGAAAAACGGUUUCUACAGGAGAAGUUCCAACCUCUAAACUAUGAACUCUGUAAUUAUUCGCACAUGGGGAAACUGUUCUCAUCUGAAAAUAGGGCUUCAGUUUCAGUAAGGACGCUCCUAGCUCCCAGAAAUUUCCCAAAAAUAGAAAUUUUUUAUGAGAAUCCGAGAAGCGUGUUUCUUGGAAGUAAUUCAAGUUUGUCUUUUUAAAGUUAUAUGAAUUGGGUUUUGAAUCCUGUUCCCUCAAAACACUUUCCCGAGAAAAUAGACCAUUCCCUUUGUUUUGGAGUUUCCUAUUUAUCCACCACGAGCGGUAAAAGUUGGCUUCUCGAUCAGUGUCCUAGAUUUCGAUAGAUAUAUCCCUUUGCUUUCUUUUCCUUCCGUUUUUCCCCUGAUGAUAAGUAGUAAUUAUGACGUUGCCUUCUGAAGAAACUAGCUAGAUUCAUCUGAAUUUAGCAUUUCAAGAUCAUCAGCAUGAGGCCGAUUGAUCAGGAAAAUUAUACAAUAAUAUUGGAAAAAUAUAUAUAUUGUAAUUCUAAAUUAAUAAGUACUCAUGAUCGAUCAUCGAUUAGUGGAUCAUCGGUCAGUUGAGUAGCCAUAUAUAAUCUGCCAUUAUUGACUUAAUUUGUUGACUGAUCACUAUCUCAAAGUUUAAAGCACAUGCGCGCGCGCGCACAUAUAUAUAUAUAUAUAUAUAUAUAUAUAUGUGUGUGUGUGUGUGUGGGGAUGAUAUUCAAGCUGUAUCAGUAGUAGUACUCUGUCCAAUGAACAGUAUUUACUCACUUUUGUAACUAUAAUGACCGCAUUCAAAUAUAUAUUAAACAUUACAAGAAUAUAUAUAUAUAUAUAUAUUUAUGAUCAAUUACUAGCUAGCUAGGAACACAUGAUGAAUAUCUUUGAGAACAUGAUGACUAUAUACCCAUAGAAAUGAUCAGAAACAUGCAUAACUUAUUUAGAAGUUAUAGAUUAAAAUAUGAAGGAAACAUAUAUGUGUUCACAUAUGUUUUUAAUGAACACAUAUAUACUGUGGCUGUGAGUUGCUCUUAUUUUUGCAAUGAUAACAUAGAAAUUUCUCAUUGUGUUCAUAUCUUGUCCCCUUGUUGCAUCCAAUGCAAGACAUAAAAAAAGACUUGAUGGAGGUCGACUACAAAGAUUUUUUCUCAAAUCCAAAAGUUUGGUUUCUAUAUGAAAAUGGAAAGAAAUAUGUGUGUAAAGUUGAUGCAAAUAUUAGGAAAAUUUGAAAGAAAAUUAUAUUAGAACAUAAAGUAGAUAGCGUAUUAUAUUUAUAUGUUUUUACAUAAGUGUAAUAAUUUAAUGGUAAAAGCAUAAUCUUACUGUCAUGGAUUGUAAACUCCUAAGGAAGCUAGCGACAUCAUCAAUCUUGAUUAUGGAGUGAAUACUAACAGUUGAAGCUGAUGCUGAUGGAUCAUGUAAUCUUUUUUCAACAAUUUCUUCAAGCGGUGAAUCAUUACCUUGUUCACUUGCAGAAAACUCUCAUCUCAUCUCAUCUCAUCUCAUCUUAAUCAUUACAACUUUUUCAAUUUUCCAUACAAAAUAAAAUAAAUAAUUCAACUUUUUCAAAUUCCAAUAUAAAAAUAAUAUUAAAACAAUAUAUUUUAAUAAUAUUUUAUUCAACUUUUAAUUUUAAUCUCUGAAAAUAGUGUCGUCUUUAAAUUUUGUAUAGAAAUUGGUCAGAAUAGAGAGUACUAAUAAAAAAAUAAUGUUAUUAUAGGAUAUGUAUUUUGAUAUAUGUUAAUAGAUUACCAUUGCUGCAAUGACAUUGUAGCAGGACUAAGAGGUUCAAUGAUAAAAACACUUGUUGGUCGUGAUGAAAGAGUGAGUCCUAUAUUGUAAUGAUAUAUUAGUAAUGUUAAAGUAUAUAAUAUAGAACAAAUGAAACUAUUGUUGCUUAUUGAAGAUAUCAUUAUAAGAACCAACUUUCAGACAUGUUGCAAGAAUUAAUGGCUUAGCUCCAAUAAUGUUUGAAUUUCAGGAUGGACAAACCGGCCCCACAUUGUAACAGGUCUAAGGCUGUAAAAUUUAAAUAAGAAUAUGUAAAACUUUAAUAUUGGGACGUAAUAUAUGAAAUAUUCAAGUAAAGCGUUCAAAAUGUUGCGAAAUAGUUUUACCUUUGAUCGAUUAUAUAUAUUACUUGAAUCAACAAGUUGGCAAGCUUAUUCAACAAGUUGAGAUAAUGGCAGCAACCCAUAGGUGCAAAAGUCUGUAGCUUAUUCAAACUUUUGCAAGCAGCAUAGCAGAAAGUGCAAGAUCGUUGACACGCUGAAGAGACUAUAUCUGAUUGGCAAAGCUUUCUUUUGUAUUUAAUCAAUAGGAUAUCUGGAUGAUCUCCCAAUGAAGAAAGCUUUCCAUUUUCAUAUUAAAGCGAACACCAGGUGCACAACUCUGUCGACAAUGAGUUUGUUUUUAUACUGCACGGAACUUUGACCGAGUUUAUAUUGUCUUUAGGAUAAAGUGGCAACUAUUAUCUUUGUCCACAAAUUGUGCUAUAUCAUGCUUUUUUGCAUUGAAAUUUUUUGUACAUAAGUUAUCAGAAAAGAAGCCUUUUAUGCUCACGAUCAUAUGCAUUAUUCUGUGACUUGCUUAGUUUUGCUGUCCACAAACUUGAAUGUCAAUUGUGGUCCCACAGAUGACCUUUCUUUACAAGGACUCAAUUAGAAUCUUUCUAGGUUUUUUCUAGAUUACAUAAAAGAAAAAGAAAAUCGCUCUAUAUGUUUGGAUCUUGGUAGGUUUUGGCUGGAAUUGAAGAAAAACAAAUGUGUCUGAUUUGAUUCCCCCUGCCUAAACACUGGCAAUAUUUUUGACAUUUCUUGUUAUGCAAGGACAAAGGAAUAUUUGAUUGAUACAAUAACCUUAAAUUGCACCUUCAUCCUCCCAUAAGAAUGUGAUAGUAAGUGAGGUCACAGUUCCAUGUCUCAUAUACUAAUUUAAAAAAUAAAAAAUAAAAAUAAUUAAUCUACACAAGGUGGUAUCUGAAAAUGGAGUUUGAUCUUUUCAAUAAAUCUGAUUGCAGCAGGGGUAUAUAAUUGGUCUUUAUUUUUAAUGAAGUAUUUUUUAAUUGUUUAAGCGGCCUUAUUAGUUGUUGCUGAACAUUUGGAAUAUGGAAAUUUUGCAUAAGUACCUAAAGAUGCUGCAGCAAAAUAGAUGCAUCAUUAAGAAUUAGUUUAUAGUUGAAAGAACUAGUUGUUGCUCAUCUAAUUUUGAUAGGUUUACAUUUUGGCAUGGGAGCCAGAAGUUAGAUCUUGACCUAAGGGUUUGAGAUUUUGGUGAUGUAUCUUGGCGGCUUGUAGAGUGAGGUUGAAUGCAGUUUUGGUGUUGCAAUUGCAUACCUGUUUUACACGCUAAAAUAUCAGAGGUUGAUGGAGAGUGGUUUACAUUAAUUUUGUAAGAGGUCCUGGCUGAGUUUGAUUCCGAAGAAAUGGUUUUUCUUAAUUCUUGGGAGCCAACGGCUAAUUUAGUGCAGUAGAAUCUACAGAGCAUAUACUUUGAAAUCAUCCCCAUACCAGCAGUCAAGAAAUGAGAGGUUUCUCAGUAAUUUAUCUGAUUCUUUUUUUGUAAGAGAAGCUCAAUCGUCUGCAGUUGCUGAUGUAGUCUUGCUUCCCUUAUUUUUAUAGAUGUUUUUUUAGUAAAACUCCUUAUUCUCAAUCAUUUCCUGUGUUUUUUGGUUUUAUAUAAAUGGUACAUAAAGAAAAUCCUAUGCUCCACUCCUUUGGCCCCAAAGAUAAAAAGAAACAUAGUAUUCUAUGAAUUGUAUCUUAUUUUGAGAUUCUACUCUCUGGUAGGAAAUGAUGGGUGGGUGUUGCAGACACCCUUUUAGCUUACUUAUGUUACAUACAAAUGGAUUGUUAUGCUUAUAAGAGAAUUACUGUAUUUUGGAGGACUGCUCCCUCAGGAUGGAGGAGGGAGUUUCCCUUGAAGGAAAGAUGAGAUCAUGGUUAGUGCCCGUUCUGGUUGGUAGCUUGGAACUGUAUGCCCAGCUUCCCUUACAGUGGUGAAUGUCACUCCUUUGUACCCAAUAACAUAUCCUCCAACCUGCCAUCAUCACCAUGUGCAAAAUAUUUAGCCUUUUUAUAUGGUGUGUAAUUUAGAGUUGCAAAUGACCAGGAUAUGUUUACCUCAUCACCAGAAUACCACGGGCGCCAGUCGGUGCUGACCGGUAGCUUUAGUUUUUUUAUUGCAUACCUAGAGGAGGUUACUGGAACUCGUGCAUCUGUGUCCCCACUGCAGGUUCAUUUAACAGAAUGUUUAAGGUGCUAGCUUUGCAGUUGGUUGCUUUUAUUUUCUCUGGUAGUCCAAUACAUGAGAAUAUUAUUUGCUCUAUAUUUUGAACUUGCCUAUUGCUUUGGUUCAUUUAUGAAUACAGAAAUUCUAAGUGGGUUUUCUUUGGAAUAAGAGUUCUUAGAGGGAUUUACUAGAAAGCUCAUUUAAAGAUGAGGGCUUACCUGUAUAUCCAUAAACUAACUCCACUAGAUGUGAGCCACUUGAUAAUGGGUAGAAUUGUGGUUGGCCCGUCCUUCCAACCAAGGAAACUGUAGCUAGUGUAGAAGCAAAAUUUGUUAGGUUACACCGGGUUAUAUUUUUAGUCCAAGACAGUUUGUUUCUUUUAUUUGCAUUCAUGCCUUGAAACAGAACCAUGAUUGCCAAUGUUUAUAGUCAAUAGGUAAAAAUACUUAUAUAGAUAAAGUCACGCAUACCUGCAAGCUUCCCAUUUUGUAUUUAUUGCAUGAAGAGCUGUUUGCACCUUGGCAAGAUUUAGGUAUGUAUUGACAUAUUGGUCAGAGCAAGGAUCAAAAUUCUUGACCUAUUUUGCAAGAUCAAAUAUCAUGUUAUGCAGAAACCACUUUAUUUCUCAUGUUUUUAAAAUGUUGUGAACCAAUUUUUUUUCCUUUGGACCCACCUUUGGUUAGUAAUGCAACUCUAGAUGCAUGACCCCACCCUCUAGAACUGGUAAAUAUGAGUAACUCAGGUCUAAGGUGGUAUGGUUUCCUCAAAUCUAAGGUUCAAAUCUCUAAGGGCCAUCAGACUGAGAUAUUUUUUUCUUAAAUUACUCGAAGUGCACUUAUAGAAAACUUUUUACCUAGGGCCUGUAUAUCCCUGGGAUUAGUCGGGAUGUUGUUCUUGAACAUCCCGUGACAGUCAAAAAAAAAAAAGAAAAGACUACUGUGUGGAAUCGAAUUUGUAACUCCUCCUAAGCCCCUUCUUUUUGACAACCCUGAUGGGUAAUUAUUUUAAAAUUAACUCAUAGGUAGUGUCAAUUGUGACCAAACUUAGUGAUGUUAUUCUAUUGAGAUAUGAUGUUAGUUGUAAGAAACUACUAGUUUUAUGGGACUUACCGAACCACUUGAUCCGGAGUUGGGUGCAGAUCCAUUGCAUAAAGGAGCAUAGAUGUUAUAUAUAUUGAGCUCACCGACCUCUUCGUUUCCCCGGCCUUGAUAUUGCUCACACUUGCUGGAAAAGUUACCGGUAUUGAAAUCGCAAUACCUGUGAAUUCCAGCAUUGGUGUCGUCGGAGUUCAAAGCAUGUGUCCAGAAAUAAUCAUAUAUGCCCAAUAUACCUGUGUUAUCAUCUAUCCAAGCAUUCCCAAUCUGCAAUCCAUUCAAAUAUUGCAGAGAAGCAUUGAGUUUUGAGAGGACUCCACAAAGUAAUAGAACAGUGCUCUCCCAGCUUUAGGAUCCACCGUUACAUAGCCUGAAUACUGAUCAAAAUCUACUCCUU